CUCGUCCUUCUGGCCGCCGCCUCCCCCUUCCUUCGUCCUCGUCCGGUCGUCCCCGCCCCUUCCGCAAGCCCCUCUUCCCCAUGCCGUCGGUCCCCUCCUCUUUCGUGUCUCCCCUCGUUGGUCGUUGCCUCAUGUCACAGAGGAGUUACAGCCAGGUCGCCGCAGUUGCCCCGUCCGCCUCAGAUUUGAAGCAGGAGGACGGAGGCGGCCACCUGCCGCCGGCUCGGACAUGGGAGGAUAGGGAAGGGGAGGGUGAGCUCAUGGCCACAUGAGGGAGGGAGGGAGGAAGAUGAUUCGUGGGCGGGUCUGGUGAGGCCUUCCCCGCCGGCCUCUUCUUCUUCCUCGCGCUGCUGCCAUCUCCCUUGUCGUCCUCGUUGACUCCUGCAUCGCUCUUCUUGGCUGCCACUCCUUGUCAGCCGCAUCCUCGCCUAGCUGGAAGAAGCCGACGGAGGCCGACCCGCUGCAGCCACGACAUAUGAUGCAGAAAAUUGGAAGUGUUAGGAUCUUUGUAAGUUUUGGGUCUGCUGCCCCAACUCUGUCGUGCCCAGGCCUAGCCAGGCGACAGCGGACUGCAAAGAAGCCCUGGGAGGAGGACCCCGACUCGGAUGACGACCCCGCUUGCUUCUUCGACUUGUGGACCAACUGCACUUAUGGCUUAUCCAAGUUUUCAGUGGAGGAUCUGGUUCGGCAGAUCAGUUGAACUUGGUCAAUGCUGUUGGAGGAAGGAAAUAUAAUGAGGUGUUGACUCAGGAACUGUAGGAAGAAACAUGUUAGAGUCCAGUAGACGGCUUGUAGAAGGGUUGGAGCUGAAAAAAAUAUAACAUUAGCUUUAGAACUGGUUGCCUAUGCUGAAGAAGUCCACAUUGGCAUUUUCACCCCGCUAUUGUAGGAUUUAUGAUAUGUCUGAAAAAAGGGAAUUUUACCUUGUCAUGUACGUGUAUAUUUCUUGUUAUAGAUCUUACCUGCUCAAUGAAGUGCAACAAAGCAAACAAAUAUUAUUUAUAUAGCUAUCUGCAAUGCACGGUUAGGGUUGUCUCUUUCUACAGGAUAUUCUUUGUGUGUAUAUGAUCGCAGCAGAAAGAGGAUUGAGGAAAUGUAGAUGCGGCUUUGUGAGCAUCUACCGAGGUUGUCAGAUAGCACUUCUAUCUGAAGUCUUGUGGAUUAGAGAUGAAGGAUGAUGGGUUUGGCAACGAUGUUUGUUGUUUUAUUUUUCUGCUUAGUAUUUGUUUCAGAUAUAAAUUAUUCUGGUUAUGAUUUCUACACUGCGUAGUGUUGCUUGGUUAUUAUGAAAUUUAAAGCUAACUUACACACACCUCUUUUCACCAUGAACAGAUAUAUAUGCACCUGCUUUUGGGUAUUAGUAUUUCCCUUUCUCUGCUAUUAAGAAUGUGGCCCUAGUAUGGAGAAAGACGUCGAUCUUCUCUCGAAGACCACAAGGUUGAUGUCUUCUGUUGAUCAAUUUUGCUGACUCAAAAUGAUACUUCAUUCAUUUUGUUGUAACGAUCACCUUUGCCAGGCCAGUUGUUCUCGAAGGACCGGGAAAUUGGGGAGGAGGACAAUAAAUAUGCAAAAGGAGAGGUUGAUGUCCAUCCGAAUGCAAAAACAAGAGGUGCAAAUUUGAGGAUUAGCUUUUGUGGUUCUCGGUCUGCAAGGGAAUAAGAGUUCUUGUACUGACCAUUGUCUUUUUAUGUAUGCCAACUUUGCUUUGGUUAUUUCCUGGAAGCAACAAUGUCUUUCAACCUUCGUUAUAAUGCCAAGAUGCCACUACUGGGUAAAAAGAGACAUCUUUAUUCACACCUACAUUUAGGCACAAGACAUGUUCAGCAUAAGUCUAGUCGCAAUGGUGGAGGAUAUAUCCCCGCCAUGAAUGGAUGUGUUUUACACUGAGAUGGCGCGGGUCACUGAUGAGGCAACUGGCCGAGGUGAGAUCAGGAAGAGACGGCGGCACAAACUUAAUUGACAAGCUCACAGGUCACGGCUAACAUAAUCAGGCAUCAACAUCAAGCAACAACCAGCCAGCAGAAUGCAGCAAAGCAGCCAACGGCAGCAAGUAGAAAACGACAUCAGCAACAUGCAGCCAGCAACAUGCAGAGGUGAUUUCUCACCCUUCUAUUAGUGCCAAGGUCGGACGAAGCAGAGCAAUGAGCUCCUUACAGGGGCAGUGGCGGUCAACAUCGAGGAGGAAGUAGGAGGGACCCGUGGUCCAGGGGAGACACGGAGCCCGUCACGGUCUGUGGAGCUGUUCGGCGAGGAGGAUGACCACAGCGGCAGCCGACGAAACCGAAGAAGGCGGCCUCGGUCCUGCGUGCUGGCACCCGGAAUCACCAUUAAAGGGACAACAGGAGCAACAAUGGAGCUAGGGGAACUACCUAGGAACAAGAACGCACCAGAAAAACGAGGUGGUUCACGGCGGCGUCCAGCGUGCGUGCAUGUUGGAGCCGGAGGCGUGGACGUCGAUCCGGACUGAGGGCUUGUGUACCCCGCGGAUUCAUGCGGCUAGCGUUGCAACAGCGACUGGUGCCCCCGGCGAGCUGGAAAAGAAAGGGGAUCUAGGAAGGAAAUGAAGUGAGGAGGGAAGUAGCGGGGCAGAGUAGGAGAAAAGUUGCUAACUUUCUAAGCAGCAAUCACACACUACUUAUGCCAUGUAUUGUUGGAUUGCCGCCUUCCUGGAGCUCUAUGCGGUGGGUGCACUGAUCCAAUUUUCUCCUGUCAAUUUUCUCCUGUGAAACUUGAAGAGAAGCGUCAAUCCACAAUAAUCUGUCAUUCUCUAUCUCUGCUAUGCACAUGGCGCCCUCCACAACAAAUGAAACAUGGAAGCGACAUCUCUACAAAAAUCAGAGCCAAAUCCAGCGACAUCAUUGCUCGAAAAACACCGUACUUGUAAAUGCAAUAUAUAGCGCUUGUUAUGAACUUUUUUCUUAUGUUUGAAGAAUAUCGGUGUCUAAAUAUUCUAACUCGCA